GAUGAACGCUGGCGGCGUGCCUAACACAUGCAAGUCGAACGAAGCACCUUACCUGAUUCUUCGGAUGAAAGUUUGGUGACUGAGUGGCGGACGGGUGAGUAACGCGUGGGUAACCUGCCCUGUACAGGGGGAUAACAGCUGGAAACGGCUGCUAAUACCGCAUAAGCGCACGAGGAGACAUCUCCUUGUGUGAAAAACUCCGGUGGUACAGGAUGGGCCCGCGUCUGAUUAGCUGGUUGGCAGGGUAACGGCCUACCAAGGCAACGAUCAGUAGCCGGUCUGAGAGGAUGAACGGCCACAUUGGAACUGAGACACGGUCCAAACUCCUACGGGAGGCAGCAGUGGGGAAUAUUGCAAAAUGGGGGAAACCCUGAUGCAGCAACGCCGCGUGAGUGAAGAAGUAUUUCGGUAUGUAAAGCUCUAUCAGCAGGGAAGAUAAUGACGGUACCUGACUAAGAAGCUCCGGCUAACUACGUG
rnacentral:rRNA from 1 species